CAGUGCUAGCCAGAGAGUUACAGAAAUCCCCUUGAACCAUGCACUGUGGAAGGCUUGCAGUCCUGUGCCUUUUCAUAGUAAGUCUAUUUUUGUACAUUUUUCUUAAUUGCUCAUUUCCUCAAAAGUGAUACUGGAAGGUACUUCACUACUCUGGCUGUUUUGAACUUUACUCUACCUGUACUUUGUAAGGAAGGCAACUACUGGCUAGGAGUGGACCAUCACAGUAAUGUUAAGAAGUGUACUUGGUGGCAAACACUGAAAGGCAAGGUUCCUGAGUCUAUUCCUGACUUUAUGAAUUGAGCUGAAACCCGUCAAAGUCACUGAGGGCUUCUGACCUCAUUAGAAAUAGGAAUGACAGGUUGGUCAUUCCUAUUCAUCACUUUGAUCCCUGGAGUCUUCAAUCCCUGCUUAUGGAAUAACUAAUAACAUAUAUUAUUAGUUAUUAGUAUGGAAGAACUAAUCCUGGCAAAGAUUUCCAUGCACAUGAAGGACACAAAAAUCACUGGGAAUCAUCAGUAUGGAUUCAGCAAGAGAGGAUUCACAAGCUGCAAAACAGGAGGUUUUAUCUGUACAGAAGGAAACACUGAUUGACUGUGAUGGUGAGUGACCAACCACUGGCACAGGCUGCCCAGAGAGGUUGUGCAGUCUCCCUUCCUGGAGACACUCAAAGGACAUCUGAAAAUGGUCACCUAGGUGACCUGACUCUUGAUAUCCCUGCUUGAGCAGGAGGGUUGGACCAGAUGACCUCCAGAGAUCCCUGCCAAUCUCAACUGUGGUUCCCUGAUUCUGUGAAUUCUGACAGCCAGCAUUCAAUGACAAGCAAAAGACAAGCAGCUGAGUAUCAGGAACUACGUAACUAAAUCUGUUUGGGGCCUUAGUGUUGAUCUGAUUUUUUUACUAUUAUUAUUUUUUAUUUUUUUUUCCUGAUGUUAAGACUAUUCUGGACUAAGUGCAUCGGUUCAAUAUUUCAGACAUGAAGAAAAUGUGUGUUGGGAGACUCUCAGAAGCAUCUAGAGGAUUUACGAUCAGAACAUAAGGUCUUCUGGAAGUCAAUAGGGCUUCUGCCCCUAAAUCUUUCAGCUAGCUUUUAAACUCACUCCUGCAAACUGUAAAUGGCCAGGAUGGAAGGAAGGAGCUUCUUGGCAGGUGUGUUAGGAAGUCAACAACUAUGCCACUGAGCGGGAGAGGCUGCAUUGAUCUUCUGCACACAGAAACCUCUGCAUAUUUUGCAACUGUUUUAUUGCAGAUUGUAUUUCAGGAAUUCUUUCAGUGGUGACCCACUGACCCUGUUAAUUAUUCAAGAAGUUACAUGACUGACAAGGACUGUAUUUCUUUGAUUGCUGUUACUUGUGAAUUCCCCAAAGUCAGCCUCUCUUGGGACAUAAGUUACCUGUCUCUUCUCUGUGAGCACCUGUGCUGUGGUCAUGUGUAUGCUCAUUGUAAGUAGGACUGCAACACAGCUCCUGGCAAUCUCAGAUGACUGACUGAUUGCAGGUGAGACAAUCACACACAACUGUGGGAUAACUUGUGUCAGAACAGCCAGUGCAAUAUUACUGUCUGGCAUAGUAAAGACAAAAAUUUCCUGAACCAAAUUAUUUGUGUGAGUUUAAAGCUGCACAUAGCUUUCAUUUAAUUUGGAGCUACAUUUUCUUCCCUGUUUGUUUUUCAAAUAAUAUUUAUUAAUUCAAUUUCUCUUCAUCAAAAGUAUGUUCAGAAGUGGUUCUUGAGCACAGGCAGUAACUAGCUGUGCUCCAUGAGCCUGGAUAAACCCGUUGUGAUCACGAUGACCUGUGUAGUUCAAUUGAAUAAGAACAAGCUUUAUAAUGAAGUAAGCCACAAGAAGACUUCAGGUCCACUUGAAAUAGAGAAAAACUAUUUAACAGUCCUUUAUUUUUAAUUCUUAGAAAUGAGCUAUUUUCUCCAUUUCACAAGAACUGUUAUUUACACAUUGGGACAGGCUGACCUUUAUUGAGCAAUGAUUCAUGUUUCGAGGACAUAAAAAAUAAUUUUGAAACUGUAAAAAGGCAGAAGAUGAGUUACAAGCCUUUAAAGUUCCCACAACACGUUUCUAGCUGGGAAAGCAAGUCUUAGAGAGAUCACAAGGCUUAGGUAGUGACAUCCGAAAUCUAGCUGCAUCCUUGUCUGCUGUCUAAGCCUGCCAGCACCUGAGACUUUGAAAUUUAAAUUGCUCUGAUGCCUGAUGGACUUCUCCCCAGGCAUGUCCAGAAGCACUCAGCUCCUGCUGCUGUAUGGAUCAGCUUGUAUAUCAAGCCUAAAGGAUUCACAAACCUGCUGUUUCUUCACCCCACCUUUUUAAGGAGCAUUUCUCAUGUGUGCCUGGAGACACCUGCUUCAUCAGCUUCCAGGUAAAAUGCAGGUUCUUCCUGCUGGAGCAAGGUGGGGCAACACCUCAUCGCUAGAUGGGGGAGAUUGGUCUUAGUUCCCUCAUUUGCUUGGCAGCUUUGCUCUACUCACUAAGCCAGAGGCUCUUUGGCUUGGAGCACAAGUUCAGGAAAAUGCACCAGCUCUCCACAUGAAGCCAUGUCACAGCCAAAAAAAAAAAAAAGAAAAAUUAGAUGAAGACUGAUGUAGGCUGAGAGCAGGAGCUUGACUACAGCCAAGUGGUUUGUGAUCUUCUCCUGGAAUGGCCAUCAAUACUCCAAGGCCUGCUUCUGCAUUUUUAAUAUCACAUUUCCAGCUGACUACCUUAACCUUAAAUUUUAGAGUAGCCUGUGACUGAAUUAUUGCUUAAGUUAAAAAGGAAUAGAAAACCAGCUUCUGUCCUGAAAAACAUCCUAUAGUAGGUAUUUAGGGCACUUUUUGGGGAGAUGUUUUUUGUAGUAUCCCCAAGGAAAAGAGAGAAUAGGAGUCAAGUCCCCUGCAGCCUGUGUAGUGGCUAUUUGGCAUUGAAGGGAAGGGCAUCCCAGCCUGCUUAAACUGUGUUGGAGACAGGAAUGAACCAAGUCACAGCGUAGGCUGUGAAGGUUCAGUGGGGGCAAGGAUUUGAGAUGCACCUCUCUACAGCAUCACCUUUCAGGCAGUUUUUGGCAUCUCCCUGCCCAGCACACUUACUGUUGUGCUUUCCAGUUGGAAGGAUUUAAUUCCCACAGCAUUUCAGUUCCACUAAGGACUCCUCUGCGGAGGUGAAUGGUUACAACUUGGGUGCGGUGAGAAUGGUUAUCCCUCUCCCAUAAAGGAUCUGGACUAAAAGUUCUUGUUUAGAGUAAGGCACAAGUAUUUGACUCUGGAGAAGAAAAGCAAAGAAAAAAAAAAAUCCACCACCCUCAGGUUUAUCCACUUAAGUCUCCCUUCUCUGGUGGAGACUUGCAAGUGAUUCUCUUCAUGCAGAUUCAUGAAGGCUCCUUCUCCCUGAGCAAGCACCUCUGAAGGCUGACGGUGCAGGGCAGCUCUUUAGAGAAGCUCAGAGGAGUGGGCCUAUCAACAUGCAGUUGUGUAAUUCAGAAAAACAAUCUAACUUGUUAUUAUUUAAUGAUAAAUGAUGCAAAAAUUGAUCUUACCAGUGAACAUUUCCCCGAAGAAGCUGCAAAAGGCUUGAGAACAGCUCCAUCUUCUGGAAAUGCAUCAUGAUCAUACUGGGGAGAGCAUAUAUUUGCUUUGCUUUUA